rnacentral:rRNA from 1 species
AUAACAGUUAGAAAUGACUGUUAAUACCGCAUAAAACAGCAGAGUCGCAUGACUCAACUGUCAAAGAUUUAUCGGUGUAAGAUGGACCCGCGUCUGAUUAGCUAGUUGGUGGGGUAACGGCCUACCAAGGCGACGAUCAGUAGCCGGCCUGAGAGGGUGAACGGCCACAUUGGGACUGAGACACGGCCCAAACUCCUACGGGAGGCAGCAGUGGGGAAUAUUGGACAAUGGGCGAAAGCCUGAUCCAGCGACGCCGCGUGAGCGAUGAAGUAUUUCGGUAUGUAAAGCUCUAUCAGCAGGGAAGAAAACGACGGUACCUGACUAAGAAGCCCCGGCUAACUACGUGCCAGCAGCCGCGGUAAUACGUAGGGGGCAAGCGUUAUCCGGAUUUACUGGGUGUAAAGGGAGCGUAGACGGCAUCACAAGUCAGAAGUGAAAAUCCGGGGCUCAGCCCCGGAACUGCUUUUGAAACUGUGGAGCUGGAGUGCAGGAGAGGUAAGCGGAAUUCCUAGUGUAGCGGUGAAAUGCGUAGAUAUUAGGAGGAACACCAGUGGCGAAGGCGGCUUACUGGACUGUAACUGACGUUGAGGCUCGAAAGCGUGGGGAGCAAACAGGAUUAGAUACCCUGGUAGUCCACGCCGUAAAC